rnacentral:rRNA from 1 species
UACGUAGGGGGCUAGCGUUGUCCGGAUUUAUUGGGCGUAAAGAGCGUGUAGGCGGCCAAGUAUGUCCGGUGUGAAAACUCGAGGCUUAACCUCGAGAUGUCAUCGGAAACCAUUUGGCUAGAGUCCGGAAGAGGAAAGUGGAAUUUCUGGUGUAGCGGUGAAAUGCGCAGAUAUCAGGAAGAACACCAAUGGCGAAAGCAGCUUUCUGGGACGGUACUGACGCUGAGACGCGAAAGCGUGGGGAGCGAACAGG